rnacentral:rRNA from 1 species
GAUGAACGCUGGCGGCGUGCCUAAUACAUGCAAGUCGAGCGAACAGACGAGGAGCUUGCUCCUCUGACGUUAGCGGCGGACGGGUGAGUAACACGUGGAUAGCCUACCUAUAAGACUGGGAUAACUUCGGGAAACCGGAGCUAAUACCGGAUAAUAUAUUGAACCGCAUGGUUCAAUAGUGAAAGACGGUUUUGCUGUCACUUAUAGAUGGAUCCGCGCCGCAUUAGCUAGUUGGUAAGGUAACGGCUUACCAAGGCAACGAUGCGUAGCCGACCUGAGAGGGUGAUCGGCCACACUGGAACUGGGAAGCAGACCCGGCUCCUACGGGAAGGCGGAGUAGGGAAUCUUCCGCAAUGGGGGGAAGCCUUACGGAACAACCGCGAGUUAGUGAUGGAGGUCCUCCGAUCGUAAAAACCUGUUAUUAGGGAAGAACAAAUUUGUAAGUAACUAAUGCCGGCUUGACGGUACCUAAUCAAGAAGCCACGGCUAACUACGUG